rnacentral:rRNA from 1 species
GAGUUUGAUCAUGGCUCAGGAUGAGCGCUAGCGGCAGGCUUAACACAUGCAAGUCGAGGGGUAUAGUUCUUCGGAAUUAGAGACCGGCGCACGGGUGCGUAACGCGUAUGCAAUCUACCUUUCACAGAGGGAUAGCCCAGAGAAAUUUGGAUUAAUACCUCAUAGUAUAACGACUCUGCAUGGAGGUGUUAUUAAAGUAACAACGGUGAAAGAUGAGCAUGCGUCCCAUUAGCUAGUUGGUAAGGUAACGGCUUACCAAGGCUACGAUGGGUAGGGGUCCUGAGAGGGAGAUCCCCCACACUGGUACUGAGACACGGACCAGACUCCUACGGGAGGCAGCAGUGAGGAAUAUUGGACAAUGGGCGCAAGCCUGAUCCAGCCAUGCCGCGCGCAGGAUGACGGUCCUAUGGAUUGUAAACUGCUUUUGCACAGGAAGAAACACCCCCUCGUGAGGGGGCUUGACGGUACUGUGAGAAUAAGGAUCGGCUAACUCCGUGCCAGCAGCCGCGGUAAUACGGAGGAUCCAAGCGUUAUCCGGAAUCAUUGGGUUUAAAGGGUCCGUAGGCGGUUUAGUAAGUCAGUGGUGAAAGCCCAUCGCUCAACGGUGGAACGGCCAUUGAUACUGCUAGACUUGAUUAUUAGGAAGUACUAGA